rnacentral:rRNA from 1 species
USGGGGSUKCUUUWMCYWUGCCAGUUCKAACGCUGAAGCCUGGUGCUUGCACUGGGUGGAUGAGUGGCGAACGGGUGAGUAACACGUGAGUAACCUGCCCUUGACUUCGGGAUAAGCCCGGGAAACUGGGUCUAAUACUGGAUAUGACCUCCUGCCGCAUGGUGGGGGGUGGAAAGAUUUAUCGGUUGGGGAUGGACUCGCGGCCUAUCAGUUUGUUGGUGGGGUAAUGGCCUACCAAGACGACGACGGGUAGCCGGCCUGAGAGGGUGACCGGCCACACUGGGACUGAGACACGGCCCAGACUCCUACGGGAGGCAGCAGUGGGGAAUAUUGCACAAUGGGCGCAAGCCUGAUGCAGCGACGCCGCGUGAGGGAUGACGGCCUUCGGGUUGUAAACCUCUUUCAGUAKGGAAGCAGCCCUUUUAGGGUGACGGUACCUGCAGAAGAAGCGCCGGCUAACUACGUGCCAGCAGCCGCGGUAAUACGUAGGGCGCAAGCGUUAUCCGGAAUUAUUGGGCGUAAAGAGCUCGUAGGCGGUUUGUCGCGUCUGCUGUGAAAGCCCGGGGCUUAACUCCGGGUGUGCAGUGGGUACGGGCAGGCUAGAGUGCAGUAKGGGAGACUGGAAUUCCUGGUGUAKCGGUGGAAUGCGCAGAUAUCAGGAGGAACACCGAUGGCGAAGGCAGGUCUCUGGGCUGUUACUGACKCUGAGGAGCGAAAGCAUGKGGAGCAAACAGGAUUAGAUACCCUGGUAGUCCAUGCCGUAAACGUUGGGCACUAUGUGUGGGGGACAUUCCACGUUUUCCGCKCCGUAKCUAAYGCAUUAAGUGCCCCGCCUGGGGAGUACGGYCGCAAGGCUAAAACUCAWAGGAAUUGACGGGGGCCCGCACAAGCSKCKKAKCAUUGCGKAUUUAUUUCGAUGCWACKCGAAGAACCUUACCAWGGCUUGACAUGGACGGAUCGGCGCAUAGAUGUGUUUUYCUUUCGGGGYUGGUUYACAGKCGUGCWUGUUUGUCKUCRYCUCGSKCCUGAAAUKUUGKGUUAKUCCCGCAWCUASYGCACCCUCGUUCUAUGUUGCCWGCWYGUUAYGGUGGGGAYYCUKG